rnacentral:rRNA from 1 species
AUUGAACGCUAGCGGGAUGCCUUACACAUGCAAGUCGAACGGCAGCACGGACUUCGGUCUGGUGGCGAGUGGCGAACGGGUGAGUAAUGUAUCGGAACGUGCCUAGUAGCGGGGGAUAACUACGCGAAAGCGUAGCUAAUACCGCAUACGCCCUACGGGGGAAAGCAGGGGAUCGCAAGACCUUGCACUAUUAGAGCGGCCGAUAUCGGAUUAGCUAGUUGGUGGGGUAACGGCUCACCAAGGCGACGAUCCGUAGCUGGUUUGAGAGGACGACCAGCCACACUGGGACUGAGACACGGCCCAGACUCCUACGGGAGGCAGCAGUGGGGAAUUUUGGACAAUGGGGGAAACCCUGAUCCGGCCAUCCCGCGUGUGCGAUGAAGGCCUUCGGGUUGUAAAGCACUUUUGGCAGGAAAGAAACGUCAUGGGUUAAUACCCCGUGAAACUGACGGUACCUGCAGAAUAAGCACCGGCUAACUACGUGCCAGCAGCCGCGGUAAUACGUAGGGUGCAAGCGUUAAUCGGAAUUACUGGGCGUAAAGCGUGCGCAGGCGGUUCGGAAAGAAAGAUGUGAAAUCCCAGAGCUUAACUUUGGAACUGCAUUUUUAACUACCGAGCUAGAG